rnacentral:rRNA from 1 species
UGGGGAAUUUUGGACAAUUGGGCGAAAGCCUGAUCCAGCAAUGCCGCGUGUGUGAAGAAGGCCUUCGGGUUGUAAAGCACUUUUGUCCGGAAAGAAAUCCUUGGCUCUAAUACAGUCGGGGGAUGACGGUACCGGAAGAAUAAGCACCGGCUAACUACGUGCCAGCAGCCGCGGUAAUACGUAGGGUGCAAGCGUUAAUCGGAAUUACUGGGCGUAAAGCGUGCGCAGGCGGUUUGCUAAGACCGAUGUGAAAUCCCCGGGCUCAACCUGGGAACUGCAUUGGUGACUGGCAGGCUAGAGUAUGGCAGAGGGGGGUAGAAUUCCACGUGUAGCAGUGAAAUGCGUAGAGAUGUGGAGGAAUACCGAUGGCGAAGGCAGCCCCCUGGGCCAAUACUGACGCUCAUGCACGAAAGCGUGGGGAGCAAACAGGAUUAGAUACCCUGGUAGUCCACGCCCUAAACGAUGUCAACUAGUUGUUGGGGAUUCAUUUCCUUAGUAACGUAGCUAACGCGUGAAGUUGACCGCCUGGGGAGUACGGUCGCAAGAUUAAAACUUCAAAGGAAUUGACGGGGUCAUAGCUGUUUCCU